rnacentral:lncRNA from 1 species
AAGAGGAUUCUUCUCAGUUAGCAGUAUUCACUAAUGACUAACCAAGGGAAUCAAAAAUGCUGGCAUAGCUUCUGGUCCCAGAAAUAAGCAGGCUUCAAAGUAAAACGAUGGAGAAGCAAUGAUUAUCAGUCUCCAGUGUUCAUUCAUGCUUGCCAAUUGAGUAAUCUGGAUGAAAUUUUUAUCUCCUGUCCAAGAAGAGGCCCAACCCCAAGCCUGGACAUAUUGAUAAUUGAGCUAAGGGAAAGGGUAAGCCAAUAGCUAGUCAUUCUGAAUGCUCAAUUUAAAGAUCCA